GUGGGGAAUCUUGCGCAAUGGGCGAAAGCCUGACGCAGCCAUGCCGCGUGAAUGAUGAAGGUCUUAGGAUUGUAAAAUUCUUUCACCGGGGACGAUAAUGACGGUACCCGGAGAAGAAGCUCCGGCUAACUUCGUGCCAGCAGCCGCGGUAAUACGAAGGGGGCUAGCGUUGCUCGGAAUUACUGGGCGUAAAGGGCGCGUAGGCGGACAGCUUAGUCAGAGGUGAAAGCCCAGGGCUCAACCUUGGAAUUGCCUUUGAUACUGGCUGUCUUGAGUUUGGGAGAGGUGAGUGGAAUUCCGAGUGUAGAGGUGAAAUUCGUAGAUAUUCGGAAGAACACCAGUGGCGAAGGCGACUCACUGGCCCGUUACUGACGCUGAGGCGCGAAAGCGUGGGGAGCAAACAGGAUUAGAAACCCGUGUAGUCC
rnacentral:rRNA from 1 species